rnacentral:rRNA from 1 species
AUUGAACGCUGGCGGCAUGCCUUACACAUGCAAGUCGAACGGCAGCAUGAUCUAGCUUGCUAGAUUGAUGGCGAGUGGCGAACGGGUGAGUAAUACAUCGGAACGUGCCCUGUAGUGGGGGAUAACUAGUCGAAAGAUUAGCUAAUACCGCAUACGACCGGAGGGUGAAAGUGGGGGACCGCAAGGCCUCAUGCUAUAGGAGCGGCAGAUGUCUGAUUAGCUAGUUGGUGAGGUAAAGGCUCACCAAGGCGACGAUCAGUAGCUGGUCUGAGAGGACGAUCAGCCACACUGGGACUGAGACACGGCCCAGACUCCUACGGGAGGCAGCAGUGGGGAAUUUUGGACAAUGGGGGCAACCCUGAACCAGCAAUGCCGCGUGUGUGAAGAAGGCCUUCGGGUUGUAAAGCACUUUUGUCCGGAAAGAAAUCACACUUACUAAUAUUAGGUGUGGAUGACGGUACCGGAAGAAUAAGGACCGGCUAACUACGUGCCAGCCGCCGCGGUAAGAC